rnacentral:rRNA from 1 species
AACAGUGCUGAUAGCAUGUUGAAUGCAUACGUUUCCAAUGUUUCACUGAAGUUAAUCAAUGUUGCACAUGGUUGGUAUUCAGACGGGUGAUCAUCUGGGCAGUUAUGUGCUGCUGGAU